UUGUAUGGAGAGUUUGAUCCUGGCUCAGGAUGAACGCUGGCGGCGUGCUUAAUACAUGCAAGUCGAACGCUGAAGUUCCCAGCUUGCUGGGGAUGGAUGAGUGUCCACUGGGUGAGCAUCACGUUCGUAACCUGCCCUUUAUUUUGGGAUAAGCCCUGGAAGCUGGGUCUAUUACCUGCCAUGCCCGUUGAUCGUUCGGUGGUGGUUUG
rnacentral:rRNA from 1 species